rnacentral:lncRNA from 1 species
GCCCCGAACCCGCCGCGAGGAUGAAGCUCUGGGCAGCGCUGCUGCUGGCCGGGCUCGUGGGCAGCCUGGCCGCUGCCCUCCCCGUGGAGAAGGUGGAUUUUGAGGGGCUCCUGAAGGAGCUCGGCAAACUGCUGGACCCCGAUGAGGGACCCCAGGAGCUGGAGGAGCCCAAGGAGAAACCCCAGGAGCUGUUCUGGCUGCUGGACCCCGAUGAGGAACCCCAGGAACAACCCUUGGUAAGCGCCGCAGAGCCCGAGGAUCCUGAGGAGAGCCCAGAGGAGCCCAAGGAGAGCCUGGAGGAGUCUGAGGAUCCUGAGGAGUCAGAAGAUCCCACAGAGAGCCCUGAAGAGUCUGAGGAUCCUGAGGAAAGUCCUGAGGAGUCGGAAGAUCCCAAAGAGAGCCCUGAGGAGUCAGAAGAUCCCAAAGAGAGCCCUGAAGAGCCUGAGGAUCCUGAAGAGAGCCCUGAGGAAUCUGAGGAUCCUGAGGAAAGUCCUGAGGAGUCAGAAGAUCCCACAGAGAGCCCUGAGGAGUCUGAGGAUCCUGAGGAAAGUCCUGAGGAGUCAGAAGAUCCUGAAGAGAGCCCUGAGGAAUCCGAGGAUCCUGAAGCAAACCCAGAAGAGUCAGAAGACCCUGAAGAAAGCCUGGAGGAGUCAGAAGACCCCAAAGAGAACCCCGAGGAGUCCGAGGAUCCUGAAGAGAGCCCUGAGGAGUCGGAGAUCAGGUUGGAUCCGAAUGUCCUGGUGGAACUGGCAGACAAACUCAAAGGUGAGCAGUGAGCGCCCUGAGCGCCCUCAGCACCCUGAGCACCCUGAGCGCCCUGAGCACCCUGAGCACCCUGAGCGCCCUGAGCGCCCUGAGCACCCUGAGCACCCUGAGCGCCCUCAGCACCCUGAGCGCCCUGAGCACCCUGAGCACCCUGAGCACCCUGAGCGCCCUCAGCACCCUGAGCGCCCUGAGCGCCCUGAGCGCCCUGAGCGCCCUGAGCGCUCUGAGCACCCUGAGCGCUCUGAGCACCCUGAGCACCCUGAGCACCCUGAGCGCCCUCAGCACCCUGAGCGCUCCCCCCAGGGCCGGGACACGGAUCCCGCUCCCCCCGCUGAGCUCCGGCUCGUCCCGCGGCUUUCCCCGCUCCACGCACCCCGCACAUCCCAAAUAAAGCCGGUCCCAAACGCUGCCCGUCGUGUCCU